UUGGCAACUUGUCUGUUGACACCAUAUUUCUCAAUCUUUUCUAGCAUAUUCAUCAGAAUCACAGUACCUAUAGCUAGCGCAUGAUCACUGCCAAGGACAUGUCUAAGCAUUGUUUUGUUUUCUUGUUCGAUUUUUCCCAUGAUGUUGCUGUCCACUAAACUGGUCACAGGCAGGCCUGUAACUAGCAACGGUUCAGGGAACUCUGUCUUGAAAGAAACUAUCCAUUACCCAAUUGAUCUCUAUUGUGCACCAUGCAUGUACUUGAGACUAUUCAAUACAUAACUAUUCCUGUCUCUAUACUGUAUUUUUUGUGCUGCUGCUCCUCCUGCUUCAGUGCUCCAUUUAUAUAUUUCUGAUGUCUGUUUCUUGACUAGAUGUCUGAACAAAAAUGACAUGAAAUUUGGCUUCUGUCAAAUUAACUAUAAAAAUGAUUGAACAAGAAGUUAAACUCUUUUGUCAAUCCCAGAUCAACAGCAACUCCUCUGUCUAUAUUAUUGUUAUAUAAUUAUGUUCCCAACUUGAUAUCAGAAAAUAUAUAUUUUUAUAUAUAAUAAGAAAUGAAUUUUAAGUGCAGCAUGAGAGGAAAUGUUGGUGAAUGAUAAUUGGAAUUUAAGCAAUUUAGUGAGUUUGAUCAAAUAUUAAUGUAUUGGAGCAUCCAUAUUAAAUAUAACAAGCAGCAAUAUGGUAAGAAAGACAAGCAACAAGUGGUUGACUACUGUCUACACUAAAGGGUGCACAUCAGAACAUAUAUAUACACACCAUAAUAUUAAAGAGUAGGGAAUAUUUGUUCAUCAUUGUACCAGAUACUUGCAGAAUUCAGAUCACCAAAAUGAAUUACAGAUAAUCACCUGCAAAUAUGUAGUACUACCACUCACAUAAGAGAAUAACCUUAAUUAUAGCUCAUUAAAAAGUACAAUUAACCAAAUCAUACAGUGUAAAUAUUAAAUUUUGAGCCUAAAACUCAACCAGCCAACUAAAGAACAGCACAAAAUCCUAGUAUCCGGUUGCUAUAGCUGUUGGCAUUAAAUCUUAAAAGGAAAAUACCUUAGACUCCAAUAUCAUUGAAUUCUUGGGUGUAAAAAGCUUGACAAAGUUGGUCUCUUUUAGUCCAAAUUUGGAGAACAAAUAAAAAGUUUUUCUGGAAUUCAUUUAAAAAUUUAUAUUUAGUUUUGCUUUAGCAUGAAAAUUUAUAGGUCUUCAAGGUGCAAAAUAGACAAAGGACUCGUAGGAUGUCAUAGUUAUAUCCAACGGAUCCCUCCAGUGAUCAAGUUAAUAAUGAUGAUAAAGGAAAAACAAGAAUAAUUCAAAAAUUUUUAGGAAAAGUUAAUCAGGUAAGAUGUUUUUUUAUUGAUUUGAUUGAGUAUUUGCAGAGAUUCAUUCUCAAGAUGUGUUCUGAUAAGUUAAUAAUUUAUUAUUAAUUUAGAUAAUUUCUUAUUUAUUGUCAGAACUCUUUAAAAAAUUUAUUUUAAUUUUAUAUUAAAACAUCAUAAAAGGUCAUAUACCAUUUAAUAUGACGUAAUAUUUGUUAUUACUAGUUUUUUAUUAUAACAAUUGGUAUGGAUGUGAAGGGAAAGUAAGGAUAACUCAAAAGUUGGUAUUGGUAGUGGAGGAAAAAUAAGGAUACCUCAGCUAAAGAAAGCUAGGCACAAAGAAUGUUACUCUGACUUCAUUCAAUGAGGUUGGGACACAGUCAGUAAUACUUGCUUAUUCAUGUGGCUUCUUGUCGAGUGUCAUGGCUCCUGAAAGGAGUUUAUCUUGAUGUAAUAUUAAGACAUCAUGGCAUAUUAUAAUUUUAAGGAUUUUAUUCGAUAUAACAAAACAUUUUUGUUUAACAUCUUCUCGCCAUGAUAGUACAGAGGGAUGUCAGGUAGUGGGUGUUUCAGGACAAGAAUUCCCUAAGUUCAGACCAACUUCUCAGGAUCACGCCUUGAGUCAAUGGUGGUGACUUGUUUUUGGAUUAAAGCAGUCCAAGGUAAGGAGUCUGUGAAUGGGUUGGCUUGGGCCAGAAAGGAGGUUGAGCGGGUGCACCGCGAUCUAUCUGGGGGCUAUGGAUGGUAGUAACCUUCCAAGACUUUCUGCUUUCUUCAGGGGUGGAGAGCAAUAUUCCCAUCGAUUUUUUUUUUUUUGGAAAAAUAAUACUCCUGUCAAAUUUAACACUAGAAAAUGGUAAAUCUUAUCUAAAAUAAUAGAACACUGGACUCUUAGAAAAUUUUAUGCUGAAUUAAGACAAUGUUUCUCAGUUUAUUAAUUCAAUAAAAUUUAAAAUAUUAUAUUUUUUAUUUUAAGAUUUUUGAAUAUCAAUAUUUAUUGUUUUAAUAAAAUUUGUUUUUUUUUUCUUUUUUCUAAUAUGAAUUUCUAAAUAAAUUCAAUAAAAAAAUGCUGGUUUAUUACGAACAAUAGCCUCAGGAAUAUAUUUUUUAAUUAUUUGAUGCCUACAAGAUGGAACAUACAGUAUCUAAGUAACAUAUCAUAUGAUGAUCAUAUUGAUGGAAACAAUUACCAAUGAGCGAAGGCGAGUGUUGUUACUUGUUACUGAGUGGUUCGAAGGCCAAACACAUGGCAAGAAGAUGUAGAGAAAUGAAAUGUUACCUGCAGGAUAUCCAAGUCCUCCAAUGAGAUCAUUACAACCCAACAACACAAAAUAACGAUAACGACAAGAAGAAUUUGCUGACGAAGUUUCUCUGCAGAGACCGCAAAUAAUAAAAAGAGAAGAAAAGCAAAUGACAAAUUUUAUUAAAAAAAUAAGCAAAGACACCUUCAUUAUCCACAUUUCUUAGUGGGUCAAGAACUUAACACAAGUACGUAAGCACAUGGAUUAAUAGUAUAUAUUUAAUUAGUAUUGUAUUAUAUGUCUAUAUGUAUGUGUGUAUAUAUAUAUAUAUAUCUAUAUGCGUGGAAGAGUUAAAAAUUUAAAAGUCUUAUUCAAGAACGCACCACCAUCCUCACCACUAAUUAGUAAAUGUAAUUGUCAUCAAAGAUGAAAAUCUUAUUAAAUCAUUACAAUGUAAUUAAUUAAGAAUAUGAUAUUAUGUAUAUAUAACCUACCAAAUUACGGAUAAACAGAAGUGGACAACAGAAAGAAAAGGAAUAAAUGUUGAAGAAGGUGUUAGCUGAUGAUGGGCUUAUCCUCUACCCACCAAUCUCUGCACUUCAUUACCUGAUUAAUUAUAAAUAAAAUUAUUAUAAAGGAAAUAUGGGUUUCUUAGUGGAGAAGAUGUUUUGAAAUACGUACUCUAUGUGUGUGUGUGUGUGUAUAUAUAUAUAUAUUAUAUUGUGUACAUGCUUGUGAUCAUGCUCCAAAGUGUCACAUAACCAUAUACCGAUCGCCAUGCCAAUUUUAAAUUUGUUUAAAUAAACAAAUAAUAAGGAUUCAUUCUCUACAUAUUUUGCAGAAGUCUGUCAUGAUCAAAACUCCCUAUCUCCAAACACAUCGAAAUAUUUUAAAGAGUGAGGCCAGUUUAGAUAAAUCUUUUACCAUCUCUAGAAAAGGUAUCUGAAACUAAUUCUUUAUUUUUCCCUUAGAGAUUUGUCAAGUCAUUGAUCUCUAACAAAAAAUAUUUUCUCCACUCCAAUAUAUUCUAAUCUGAAAACAAAUAAAAUUCUGAUUGGUUAUAAAAUAAUUCAUGAAGGUGUAGUAUGAAAAUCCCUAAGUUUCUAACUACAAGGCUAGAUAAAGAAUUAACAAUAGUUGGAAGUGUGUUCCAUGCGAAUUCUCAAUCAAUCAAAUUAAUAAUCGCAAAGACGAUAAAAUAAAUAAUAGUUUGGAGUAUUUAGAUAAUAAAAAAUUACAUUCUUUACAAUUAGUAGGGUAUUCUUAGAAAUUUAAUUAUACGGUUUACAUAAUAACUUAUGAGUGAUUUUCACUACUUUGGGUAGCAUAUUUCGAUUGAUAAGAUACUAAAGAAGGGAUUGCCUCUAUAUGACAUUUGAAUUUAACAAGACAUUUUAUGUUUAAAGAUACUUGAUUCAUCAAUCGUUUUGCUUUAACGGCUACUACCCACCCAUAACCGUAUUUAAAAACUUAAAAGAUUGGAGCUUUCUCAUAUUCAACCUAAUUUUUUUUCCAAAAAUUGAACUUCCGGAUAGUAAUAAUAUGUUGUCCGGGACAUUAUAUUCUAAAGAAUAAAGAAUUAUUCAUAUUACAAAUUUAACUAGAAAGAGUUUUGAGAUUCCGAUACAGAUAACAAACAUAAAAAAUUAAAUAUAAAAAACAAUAGCUCUUCCACAUAUCAUAUUCUAUUUAUUAUUUAAUUCAAACAAACACAAUAUUAUGACAUUGUUAAAUAUUAGGAGAUGUUUCAGGUAGAUGAAACUAUUCACUAAAAUGAUCCAACUCUGUAAUUAUUAAUUGCAUCUGUCAUAAUUUUGGGCAAGGACUGACCAAAAGAAAAUUAAAAAGAAAAAAAAUAAACUUGAUGGCUCGUUUGUCACCACAUCAACCAUUAUUCAACAAAAAAUUGUCAUAGGUUGCCUUAGUGGGGUGCACAAUUGGGUACAAGUGACACUACCCCCAAAUCUGCAAAUUAACCCCCUCAGGGGUAUGGCCACCUGAAAAAUAAAAGAAAAAAAUUCCCAUACCAUAAAAAAAAUAUUUAAAAAAAAAAAUCUAAAAUAGAGAGAGAGGCCUAGGGUUUUUCUUUUCGCAUGAGUUGACAGGCUGAGCAAUAGGAAGAGGUGGUGGUGCACUAAGCACCCACGCGCGCUGGUUAGCGCAGGGCCCACAAGAGGACACUAUCAUGCGCCCACCCCACAUGUGUGUGUAUGUUUGUGUGUGUGUGCCUACUUCUCCACGAAAAUUAUUGCUGUAAUAAUUUUGGUGUGUAUUUUAAGGGUUUGUCUUUGGUCACUUUGAUACCAUAAAAAGUUGGGGGCGGUUAAAUCAAGUACCCUUCCGUGCAUGACUCAAACCGUUAUUCUAGGGCAAUGUUCCUUGUUUACCCUCCUUUUUACUAUUUUGCCACCGCCCUUCCCUUGGAUUUUAGUGGUCAUCAGUCCAAAAGAAGAGGUAUAAUGGGAAUACCAUACAGAUUUGGAGAAUUAUUUUUGUGAAGUAGAUAAGAUUUGUAAGCUUUAGCUUGGUGAUGGGGAGGGAAGAAGAUGGUUUAAUCAUUGCUCCUCAUCACUCAUGCCAUGUUUAUAUGAGAACAUAAACGGACUGGAUAUGUUUAGAAUUUCCUGAUAAUUCUUUUUCUUCUUUCUCUUCAUAGGUAAUUUGAUUACUUGAGCAUGUAUUAUACUUGUAUGAUAUACUGUGAAUUUACCUUGUAUUUUUUUUUUUUCCAGAAAAUAUUGUAUAUAUAGAUGGUGUAUGUAUAAUACUAAUGGUUUAACUAUAUUAUUUCCUUGAAAAAGAAACAUUGCGAUCUAAUUGUAUAAACAAUGAACUCUGCCUACAUAUGAACAAAGAAAUCUGGCCCACCAUUUACCAGAAAACUACUACAACGAAAAAGUUGGUCAUUUGAGUUUUGGUUAUCUUGUCGUUUACGAAGGAUAAAAUUACUUUUUAUUUUUUUAAAAGGAACCAAAGUUACUUUUAUCUAUAGGAGUCAAGAGACAUUAGAUUUAAUGAAUAAUGAAAAGUUAAACUCUCCCUUUUAACUCUUUAAAAGUUAGAAAAGAACUCUUACCAAAGAAGCAGCAUCAAGUGGAAGAGUAUCUUCAAGUGGUAAAAAGUCUGGAGAAUCUCACAAGUCUAAAAUCCAAAGUUUAAGCCGUGGUAAUAUUACACUUGUUCCUCAGAUGGUCUCACGUACGAUAAGAUUUAAGUGGACAAAGAAACAAUCAC
rnacentral:lncRNA from 1 species